GGUUUCGUGCCUGUCACAUUUACCUUUUUAACUUUUAGAUAAAAUUUCGUCGCUCCUCCUCGUAAUCGGCAUUAUUACACUUCAAAACAAUCGGCUUUUUCAUUGACAAUGUCAAAUCGCGUUAAUACACAUCAAUUCAAACAAUCCAGAACAUGGAAUAUCCGAAAACUGUCAAAUUAUGUAUGUUGGCUUUUGGAAAGUGGCCAUGCAGAAGCCGUAUUUUAAAUCGUGUGCUACGGAUUUUUUAUAUUAUUUCUUUUCUAUCGGUUGAAACACCGAUACUAAGAUUAUUUUCUGUAACAAGGAAUAACAUUCAAAAAUUUAUUAUUUGCUUUUCAAUAUCUCCUGCGUGUGCUAAUUGUUCAAUGAAAUAUGUGUGUUUUAUUAUCAAUACACGAGGUGUACUAUUUUUAUUAGAUAAAAUUUUAGAAAACUUUAAAGACAUUGAAUCUAGGAAAGAAUUUUGUAUUUUGAAAAAAUUAACUAAAGAAGCAAAACAUAUAAAUCUGAUUUUUAUCAGUAUCGCUCGGAAAACAUUAUGAAUAUUAGAAGGACAAUUAAGGUUAUUAGCAAUGAGGAGAGGAUGCAAAAAAAUGUUUAUUGUAUUUUGCUACAUAAUAAUAUUCUUGAGUUUGUCGAAAAACUUGAUUUAUGUUUCACCAAGUGUUUGUUAAUCUCUUACGGAUAUAUUAUAUUAGCAAUGACAAUUUUAGGCGCAAUGGUAUGUUUUAAUUCAAAUAUCAUAUAUGUUAUAAAUAAUAUAUAAUUUAAGAUUGAACGAGAUAUAAAGAAACAAUAUAAUACGAAUUUAUAACUUGGUAAAUAAUUAUACAGAUAAAAAUUAUGAAAAUUAUCAUUCAAUUCAUAACAGAGGUCAAAUUCAACCUGACUUAAAUUAAUUGAUAAUUUGCAACAACGCAUAUAUCUUAUUAAAUAAUAUAUAAUGUUAGAGGAGAAAAUUCCUUCUCUUAUUUUCAUUCCAUUUUUUA